rnacentral:rRNA from 1 species
AGCGAACGCUGGCGGCAGGCCUAACACAUGCAAGUCGAACGAAGUCUUCGGACUUAGUGGCGGACGGGUGAGUAACACGUGGGAACGUGCCUUUAGGUUCGGAAUAACUCAGGGAAACUUGUGCUAAUACCGAAUGUGCCCUUCGGGGGAAAGAUUUAUCGCCUUUAGAGCGGCCCGUGUCUGAUUAGCUAGUUGGUGAGGUAAAGGCUCACCAAGGCUACGAUCAGUAGCUGGUCUGAGAGGAUGACCAGCCACAUUGGGACUGAGACACGGCCCAAACUCCUACGGGAGGCAGCAGUGGGGAAUCUUGCGAAAUGGGCGAAAGCCUGACGCAGCCAUGCCGCGUGGAUGAUGAAGGUCUUAGGAUUGUAAAAUCCUUUCACCGGUGAAGAUAAUGACUGUAGCCGGAGAAGAAGCCCCGGCUAACUUCGUGCCAGCAGCCGCCGUAAGAC